CGGCCCAAAUUCUACGGGAGGCUGCAGUAGGGAAUCUCCACAAUGGCGAAAGCCUGAUGGAGCAACGCCGCGUGUGUGAUGAAGGCUUUCGGGUCGUAAAGCACUGUUGUAUGGGAAGAAAAGUUAAGGUAGGGAAUGACCUUAGCCUGACGGUACCAUACCAGAAAGGGACGGCUAAAUACGUGCCAGCAGCCGCGGUAAUACGUAUGUCCCGAGCGUUAUCCGGAUUUAUUGGGCGUAAAGCGAGCGCAGACGGUUGGUUAAGUCUGAUGUGAAAGCCCGGAGCUCAACUCCGGAAAGGCAUUGGAAACUGGUUAACUUGAGUGCAGUAGAGGUAAGUGGAACUCCAUGUGUAGCGGUGGAAUGCGUAGAUAUAUGGAAGAACACCAGCGGCGAAGGCGGCUUACUGGACUGUAACUGACGUUGAGGCUCGAAAGUGUGGGUAGCAAACAGGAUUAGAUACCCUGGUAGUCCACACCGUAAACGAUGAACACUAGGUGUUAGGAGGUUUCCGCCUCUUAGUGCCGAAGCUAACGCAUUAAGUGUUCCGCCUGGGGAGUACGACCGCAAGGUUGAAACUCAAAGGAAUUGACGGGGACCCGCACAAGCGGUGGAGCAUGUGGUUUAAUUCGAAGCAACGCGAAGAACCUUACCAGGUCUUGACAUCCUUUGAAGCUUUUAGAAAUAGAAGUGUUCUCUUCGGAGACAAAGUGACAGGUGGUGCAUGGUCGUCGUCAGCUCGUGUCGUGAGAUGUUGGGUUAAGUCCCGCAACGAGCGCAACCCUUAUUGUUAGUUGCCAGCAUUCAGAUGGGCACUCUAGCGAGACUGCCGGUGACAAACCGGAGGAAGGCGGGGACGACGUCAGAUCAUCAUGCCCCUUAUGACCUGGGCUACACACGUGCUACAAUGGCGUAUACAACGAGUUGCCAACCUGCGAAGGUGAGCUAAUCUCUUAAAGUACGUCUCAGUUCGGACUGCAGUCUGCAACUCGACUGCACGAAGUCGGAAUCGCUAGUAAUCGCGGAUCAGCACGCCGCGGUGAAUACGUUCCCGGGUCUUGUACACACCGCCCGUCACACCAUGGAAGUUUGUAAUGCCCAAAGCCGGUGGCCUAACCGUAAGGAGGAACCGUC
rnacentral:rRNA from 1 species